rnacentral:piRNA from 1 species
UAAGAGAACUGAUUGCUGCUUGUAAGAUA